UACGUAGGGUGCAAGCGUUAAUCGGAAUUACUUGGCGUAAAGCGUGCGCAGGCGGUUUUGUAAGUCUGUCGUGAAAGCCCCGGGCUCAACCUGGGAAUUGCGAUGGAGACUGCAAGGCUUGAAUCUGGCAGAGGGGGGUAGAAUUCCACGUGUAGCAGUGAAAUGCGUAGAGAUGUGGAGGAACACCGAUGGCGAAGGCAGCCCCCUGGGUCAAGAUUGACGCUCAUGCACGAAAGCGUGGGGAGCAAACAGG
rnacentral:rRNA from 1 species